AACGAACGCUGGCGGCAUGCCUAACACAUGCAAGUCGAACGAGACCUUCGGGUCUAGUGGCGCACGGGUGCGUAACGCGUGGGAACCUGCCCUUAGGUUCGGAAUAACUCAGAGAAAUUUGAGCUAAUACCGGAUAAUGUCUUCGGACCAAAGAUUUAUCGCCUUUGGAUGGGCCCGCGUAGGAUUAGCUUGUUGGUGGGGUAAUGGCCUACCAAGGCGACGAUCCUUAGCUGGUCUGAGAGGAUGAUCAGCCACACUGGGACUGAGACACGGCCCAGACUCCUACGGGAAGCAGCAGUGGGGAAUAUUGGACAAUGGGCGAAAGCCUGAUCCAGCAAUGCCGCGUGAGUGAUGAAGGCCUUAGGGUUGUAAAGCUCUUUUACCAGGGAUGAUAAUGACAGUACCUGGAGAAUAAGCUCCGGCUAACUCCGUG
rnacentral:rRNA from 1 species